AAAUAGGAGUGCCAUAAUGCAUUAUUGCACUAGUGGACUUUGCUGUCAUCCAACUACUAGUACAAGAACAAGUGAACAUGGACACUGACCGUAUUUUAGAGCAUGGCCUGAUAUGGACUUUUGGGGGCUGCAGGUUGAGGUCAUCGUGGUGAUUGGCCACAGCCGCUGCGGUGGAAUCAAGGCUCUCCUCUCACUCAAGGAUGGCGCAGACGACUCCUUGUAAGUACUACCAGAGUAUCACGGCUCAGAUCCUAUUCCCGCUAACUCUACCGUCUCUCCGAUCAGUUUCUGACUGUCUAUUUGGUUGGUCUUGGUCAGCCACUUCGUCGAGGACUGGGUCAGGAUCGGCUUCCCGGCCAAGAAGAAGGUGCAGACUGAGUGCGCCUCAAUGCCUUUCGAUGACCAGUGCACCGUCCUCGAAAAGGUUCGCACCAUUGCCCAUCUGCCAUCUCAUACUUUGCUCAUACACUAUAUUAUGUACUCCUGUUAGCAAUACUGCACACUCCACAAUUCUGCAUGUGGUUUGUCUAACUCAUUGGUACGCUGACCAAGAGAUAUUUCUGAAUUGUUUCCUUUCCACAGGAGGCCGUGAACGUGUCCCUCCAGAACCUCUUGACCUACCCGUUCGUCAAGGAGGGUGUGUCCAACGGAACCCUCAAGCUCGUUGGCGGCCACUACGACUUCGUCUCCGGCAAGUUCGAGACAUGGGAGCAGUAA
rnacentral:lncRNA from 1 species